CAAAAAUGCGAGAUGUAUUCAUUGAAGCUCAACUUGGUUCUGCUUCAGCCAAAUAAAGUCUGAUGUUUGUUCUGUAGGUCGAGCUGAUCCAGCAGACCAUGAGAGAAAAGUUUAAAGAACGCACCGCGCUCACCGUCGCACGUCGGCUCAACACCGUCAUCCACAGCGACCGCAUCCUGGACCUUUAACCCAGAGAGAGUGAGCCUGUCCUGGGUUAGACAGUUCAUGAUGGUCCCCUGGUUCUCCACCUCCAGGGAGAGCUGAGUCUUAAACCAGUUCAAAAUGAGCUUCAAAUAUCAAGCAGGAGUUGGAUGAAUCAGCGCGUACGCUGAGCCCUACACUCUGCUACACGACCACGACAGUGUCUUCUACAAAAUGGUGCAGCAGACGGGCAAACGGGAGGCACUGGCGUUACUAGAAGCAGCUGAACGGGCCAAAAGGAGUGGUCCAAACAGACGGGGCUGCCUCUGCUGCAGACGACUCGAGCGUCUGCACCAUCUGAAAGAGACAGAUUUACACACAUGCUGUGGAGGAAGAGGAAGGGAGUGGGGAAAUGGGGGAAGAGAAGGAGAGGAGGAGAGAGAGGGAGCGAGUGUGCAGCUCUCAGACAAACAUGACCCCAAACACCUUUUAAAAAGCACUUACCGGGAGCUCGUCCUGCUGGAGGAGGCUGCUGUGGCUCCACGGCACGAGGACACAGCUCGUCGUCACUGUUCGGUAAAGACGUGACGUCAAACCCGGACCUGGUCAGAUUGAGAUGAUUUGCAGUUAUUAUUUUAAAAUCAUAGACUUUAAAGAAGUGAAUGAGUGAGUGUGACGCUUAGCAACGCUGUCAAUCAAACCUGUCGCUAACGCUACGGAUAAAAGACGCCUGAUUUGUCUGUUAUUAAUGUUCACAUCUCGAUUUACAGACAACAGUGAAAUAAAAACCCCAGGAUCAUGUAGAGUCAAACGUGUUGCUGUGUGGACACAUUCAGAAGAAGUAAAGACAAAUGAAACUAAAAGCACAAACCUUCAGAACGAUGAUGUGGUCGGCUCUUUUCAGAUACUGCAGCUGCUGAGUGACCAGGAUGUGGCUCUUGUUCUUGAGUAAACCUCGGAUAUAACGGGCGAGCGUUAGCAUCAUUAGCAUUAUAUUAGGGUCACUCACUGAUCAGACACUUUCCAACCUCAGCGUCGACGGCACUUAAAGGGUCGUCCAGGAGGUAAACGUCUGCGUCCUGAGACGCGGCUCUGCAAACACGACCAGAAGACAAAGAAAUGAACAAGAUUUUCAAAUAAACAUAAUAUUAGAACAGCAUUUUCACUUUGCCUGUUCUGGAUUUAUUCAGUUAAAACCACACAGACCGACA
ensembl:lncRNA